ensembl:lncRNA
GACAGAUUGAAAUUAAAUUUCUUGCAAUUUUCAGACUGCGUUGAUGUGAAAAGGGGCCAUCUUCAGAGGAUAAAGAGACCACUGAAAGGAAAGAAAUAGGAAAGAGUAGAUGACCUCCUGGCCUCUGAGGCAGAUGCUGAAAGCUGAAUGAGAAAGGCUGACCAUGAGGCCCAGGAUGCUUUGUUGCAGAUGACAAAGGCGAAAGGGACCUGAACUCUCCGGCUGAGUAGGAACACAGCAGAUUUUCCACAAGAUUCUUUGAAAGUCGCCUUCGUCUGGGCUGAACCCUCACAUCUGGCAGUGGCUCACUUCUGCUGACUCCAAGACCCACAUCCAGGACAUGAAUAUUCAUCGCGUUACUCAUGCUGCGUUCCUUUGCCUCUGAUGUGUUUAGCUCCGAGUACCAGGGAGACACUCCAGAGCAGCUGUGAGGCUUUUGCCAGCUCUUACUCCUCGGGCUAAGCAGGAAAUCAUUUUCCUGUCCCAUGAAACUUUCCAGUGUGAGGCUUUUUUUUUUCUUCUUCUUCUUUUUUUCUCUAU